UAAUACGAAGGGGGCUAGCGUUGUUCGGAAUCACUGGGCGUAAAGCGCACGCAGGCGGAUUGAUAAGUCAGGGGUGAAAUCCCGGAGCUCAACUUCGGAAUUGCCUUUGAUACUGUCUGUCUUGAGUCCGGGAGAGGUGAGUGGAAUUCCUAGUGUAGAGGUGAAAUUCGUAGAUAUUAGGAAGAACACCAGUGGCGAAGGCGGCUCACUGGCCCGGUACUGACGCUCAUGUGCGAAAGCGUGGGGAGCAAACAGGAUUAGAUACCCUGGUAGUCCACGCCGUAAACGAUGGAUGCUAGCCGUCGGGGAGCUUGCUCUUCGGUGGCGCAGCUAACGUAUUAAGCAUCCCGCCUGGGGAGUACGGUCGCAAGAUUA
rnacentral:rRNA from 1 species